rnacentral:pre_miRNA from 1 species
CAUGCACUGAUGGGGUCCCUCGGCCUGGCCUGUGCCCUCUCGCAAUCUGGGACACCCUCAGGGGAUGUCGGAGAGCCAGUUUUGGUGCGAUCCCACAGGCCAGGCCGAGGGACCCCACUGGUGCACG